rnacentral:misc_RNA from 1 species
CUGAGUGAGGGCCUCCGGGUCCGACCUCCAACCCUUUUGUGAACCACCUCUGUUGCUUCGGGGGCGACCCCGCCGUUCGCGCGGCGGCGGCGCCCCCGGAGGCCCAAUCAAAACACUGCGUAACCUUAGUGUCGGAGUCUGAUUUAAUCAAUCA